AUUGAACGCUGGCGGCAUGCCUUACACAUGCAAGUCGAACGGUAACAGGUCUUCGGAUGCUGACGAGUGGCGAACGGGUGAGUAAUACAUCGGAACGUGCCUAGUAGUGGGGGAUAACUACUCGAAAGAGUGGCUAAUACCGCAUGAGAUCUACGGAUGAAAGCAGGGGAUCGCAAGACCUUGCGCUACUAGAGCGGCCGAUGGCAGAUUAGGUAGUUGGUGGGAUAAAGGCUUACCAAGCCGACGAUCUGUAGCUGGUCUGAGAGGACGAUCAGCCACACUGGGACGGAGACACGGCCCAGACUCCUACGGGAGGCAGCAGUGGGGAAUUUUGGACAAUGGGCGCAAGCCUGAUCCAGCAAUGCCGCGUGCAGGAUGAAGGCCUUCGGGUUGUAAACUGCUUUUGUACGGAACGAAAAGCCCUGGGUUAAUACCCUGGGGUCAUGACGGUACCGUAAGAAUAAGCACCGGCUAACUACGUGCCAGCCGCCGCUGUAAGAC
rnacentral:rRNA from 1 species